AGCCUGGACUCCAGAGUCACCCAGUCGGCUCUCCACGGCUGUGACAGCAGGUUAGGAGGGGAAUUCGCAGCACAGCCAAGUCCCCGGCCCUGCCCACAUACAAAAUGCAGGACUGAUUGACCGCACAAGAAACAGAAGAGUUGUCCCUGGGAAAGGCAUGCCCUGACAGUGCCACCGAUGGGGAAACUGAGUCCCUGAAAAAGGCCCUUCUCUCGGGCCUGCCCUUUGGGCCAGCGGAAGCCAGAGAUGCUUUGAAGUACGUCAGAAGGUGGGUGAGCAAAAUGCUGCUGGAAACGCACUCAGAGAGAAACUCAGCCUUUUGGAGGAUGGGUGCAGAGCAUCGGUCCCUCAGUGUUCUUUAAACCUGCAAAACAGCCAAUGAGUGUAAAAAACACAGUCUUCCCUAGGAUUGCGCUUUGUGACUGAGACCAAUGUUCUCCUGUGUGGCCUUGGUGUCUGGCUCUGUUCCCCAAGUCUACCAAGCUGUGGAGUCGGCUU